CCUACGGGGGGCAGCAGUGGGGAAUAUUGCACAAUGGGCGAAAGCCUGAUGCAGCGACGCCGCGUGAGCGAAGAAGGCCUUCGGGUCGUAAAGCUCUGUUCUAUGGGAAGAAAAAUGACGGUACCAUAGGAGGAAGCCCCGGCUAACUACGUGCCAGCAGCCGCGGUAAUACGUAGGGGGCGAGCGUUGUCCGGAAUGACUGGGCGUAAAGGGCGCGCAGGCGGUCUUUUAAGUCUGAUGUGAAAUCUUGCGGCUCAACCGCAAGCGGUCAUUGGAAACUGGGAGACUUGAGUGCAGAAGAGGAGAGUGGAAUUCCCAGUGUAGCGGUGAAAUGCGUAGAUAUUGGGAGGAACACCAGUUGCGAAGGCGGCUCUCUGGACUGUAACUGACGCUGAGGCACGAAAGCGUGGGGAGCGAACAGGAUUAGAUACCCUAGUAGUC
rnacentral:rRNA from 1 species